AAUACAUGAUGACAACAGUUUCGGUCCCAAAUGAACACAGUGAUUACUGUAUGAGAUCUACUGAUAUU